rnacentral:lncRNA from 1 species
UGUGUUCCAAAUGCACGGGAAAAGUUCUGACCAAGGUUGUGGCUUGUGCCUGCCUGCAAAGCCUUCCUAUCUCCCAUCAUUGCUUCAAUUGUAUAGGUUGUUGAAGCACCUGCAAACGUCUCCACCCUCGAUUUCCUGCCUGCAAUAACAGGUAUUGCAGCUUGCUCAUAAGCAAAUUUUGUAUAUACAUCGAUCAUCUGCAUUGCCUGAAGUACAGGAAGUAGGAAUGUGUUAUAUAAAAACACUAACUGGAGAAAACUAUGCAUAUAAAAAAGAUAAAAACCUCUUUUUCUGCUUCUUCUGCAGUAGCAUGGGCAGUAUGGCCCUCCUGCCAAAGAAAUUCAAGCGUCCUAAUAAAUGGUUUGGUUCGCAUCUCCCAUCUCGUGACAUUUGCCCACUGAAAAAACAUUAAAUGAGAUAAUAGUUAAUAUGAGAAUCGGAAUAUUCUCACUUCUUAGUGGUAACACAAUAAAGAUGAAGGAUGUGAUUGAACGAACCUGAUUGAUCAUGAGAGGAAGGUCGCGGUAACUAUGAAUCCAUUGAGUAAACAUAUGAUUCACAAUUGUUUCACUAGUAGGUCUGACCUGCCAGAACCUCAAGAAGGUAAAACAUCAAACCCACACUCAGAUGAUAGUGUUGAAAUGCAACCGGCAUUGAAGAUGACAUAUCUUAAUUUGUGUUUUCUUUAUUUAUCAAGAAAAAUAUUUCACAAAAAGAUUAAGCUCCUGUUUGUCUAUAACAAUAACAUUUGAUUAUACAUUGGAUAGGUUUUUUUGAGAAAAAAAUUGAAGAUGAGUUUCAAGUUUGAAGAAGUGGUUUUACCUGUCUUUCAAGUGAAACUUUUUCCCCACUCACAAAAUCUUAACUAUCUUUCAAGUUAAAUACAUGUCCAAACACAAAAGUUGAUUUCCAAAUAUCCUUUUCAACUUUCUUCAAAUACAAUUUUUUUUUAAAUAUCAUAUUUUUUUGUCCAAACGCANAUGGAAUUAGUCAAGGAGUCUACAAGGUCCCGCGGAAACCAUGGUUAUAAAACAUAGAAAAGGAAAAUUUGGACUAUGAAAAGGAAUCACACAGAGGACUCCAAAAGAGAAAUCUUGCAGAGCGUCACCAAGAGAAAAAGAGUGGGCCAGGGCAUUGGUCGUCAUCAAUAAGGAAUUGCACAAGUAAACAUCUCCAUGUUUUUAUCAUUUACUAGUCAUUUUAGUUUGAAGUAAUUAGUAUUGCCAUGUUGACAUUAAUUCUAAUAAGUGGAAAGCAUAAGAGUUGGUCAUUCUGACACUUGCAUGAUUUUUGACAGAAAAAGUUAUGUGGUCUUGAAGAACAAACCAUGAAAUUGGAGGAUUAAGGAGUUGUACGCGUGAAUCAUAAGCAAAAGCUAAAGACGAGGGACACGACUAUUGGCUACAUACUCUUUGAUAUCUGAUUUUUUUAAGAAGAAACUUGACUUUAAUGUAUAUUAAAUCUCUCGGCUCAAUUGUUUGAAACUACACAGAAGUUCACUACUCAACCUAACAGUUCGGAAUCAUAAUCCUUGGCCAACCCAACCAUGUCUGACUGCUGAUCUUGAACUACAUAUAAAGCAGCAUAUUCAUACCUAACUGUAUAUUAAAGCAUAAUAAUUCACUACAAAGUGUCAUAAAUACUUCGACUGAAGGCAAUAAUCAGCAUAUUCAUAUUGUUACAUUCCAAAUUACCUGUGUUCCAAAUGCACGGGAAAAGUUCUGACCAAGGUUGUGGCUUGUGCCUGCCUGCAAAGCCUUCCUAUCUCCCAUCAUUGCUUCAAUUGUAUAGGUUGUUGAAGCACCUGCAAACGUCUCCACCCUCGAUUUCCUGCCUGCAAUAACAGGUAUUGCAGCUUGCUCAUAAGCAAAUUUUGUAUAUACAUCGAUCAUCUGCAUUG